rnacentral:snoRNA from 13 species
UGUGCAAAUGAUGAUAAAAUAGACAGGGACAUCAGCUACUCCUUUUUUAGGGAGGAUGAUGACUAAGUCUAAAAUGGGAAUCUCUCUGAUGCAUU